CGCUUCCUGACCUUCCGGGACCGGAUCCAUCUCCUGCGAUGCGGAUACCUGUCAGUCGUGCAAAUGAUCAAGAAACAGUUCCCACAGAUUCAACCCGUCUUUGCUGGCCACG
rnacentral:misc_RNA from 1 species